GCCGGUGGUCAUGGCAGGCUGGAUCCACCCGAUCCCAUCCCGAACUCGGCCGUGAAACGGCCUUGCGCCGAUGGUACUGCAUCUUAAGGUGUGGGAGAGUAGGGCGCCGCCGGUU
rnacentral:rRNA from 1 species